CCUACGGGGGGCAGCAGUGAGGAAUAUUGGUCAAUGGCCGGAAGGCUGAACCAGCCAUGCCGCGUGAAGGUCAGUGGGCGGUGGGCGGUAAACUUCUUUUGUGCGGGAGCAAUAAUGGUCACGUGUGGCCAGACGAGAGUACCGUACGAAUAAGCAUCGGCUAACUCCGUGCCAGCAGCCGCGGUAAUACGGGGGAUGCAAGCGUUAUACGGGUUUAUUGGGUUUAAAGGGUGCGUAGGCUGUGAGGUAAGUCAGCGGUGAAAUGCCCCCGCUCAACGGGGUGAAGUGCCAUUGAUACUGCCUUGCUGGAAUGCGGAUGCCGUGGGAGGAAUGUGUGGUGUAGCGGUGAAAUGCAUAGAUAUCACACAGAACACCGAUUGCGAAGGCAUCUCACGAAUCCGCGAUUGACGCUGAUGCACGAAAGCGUGGGUAUCAAACAGGAUUAGAUACCCCAGUAGUC
rnacentral:rRNA from 1 species